UCCGGGGGGGGUAAGCGUUGUUCGGAAUUACUGGGCGUAAAGGGCUCGUAGGCGGCCAACUAAGUCAGACGUGAAAUCCCUCAGCUUAACUGGGGAACUGCGUCUGAUACUGGAUGGCUUGGAUUCGGGAGAGGAAUGCGGAAUUCCAGGUGUAGCGGUGAAAUGCGUAGAUAUCUGGAGGAACACCGGUGGCGAAGGCGGCAUUCUGGACCGAUAUUGACGCUGAGGAGCGAAAGCCAGGGGAGCAAACGGG
rnacentral:rRNA from 1 species